rnacentral:rRNA from 1 species
UACGGAAGGCAGCAGUGGGGAAUAUUGCACAAUGGGCGAAAGCCUGAUGCAGCUAUGCCGCGUGUAUGAAGAAGGCCUUAGGGUUGUAAAGUACUUUCAUCGGGGAGGAAAAAACAAAACUAAUAAUUUUAUUUCUUGACGUUACCUGAAAAAGAAGCACCGGCUAACUCCGUGCCAGCAGCCGCGGUAAUACGGAGGGUGCUAGCGUUAAUCAGAAUUACUGGGCGUAAAGAGCACGUAGGUGGUUUUUUUAAGUCAGAUGUGAAAUCCCUGGGCUUAACCUGGAACUGCAUUUUGAAACUGAAAUACUAGAGUAUCGUAGAGGGAGGUAGAAUUCUAGGUGUAGCGGUGAAAUGCGUAGAUAUCUGGAGGAAUACCUGUGGCGAAAGCGGGCCUCCUAAACGAAUACUGACACUGAGGUGCGAAAGCGUGGGGAGCAAACAGGGAUUAGAUACCCGU